rnacentral:misc_RNA from 1 species
GAGUUGGUGAUUACUCCACUUAAUGUUCCUAAAAUGAUAGCUGAAAACGCAUCAUCUGCAAAAGUGACGCCAGAAAAAUUCUGGGGAACCUAUCGAUCAAAUCUGUAUUUUGGCUUGAAAACACGGUCUCCAACUUCUCCAGUAGUUGGCUUAAUGUGGUUAGAACAAGCUAGAACUAUGCCUCCCCCAAUCCGACACUGGUGUAGUCAAGACGAUAGAUUAAAUCAGUAUGGUUGGCUCAAACAUGAUGGAGUUAACUUUGGCAUCCAAGAUAUUGUAGAGCAAAAUUUCAAUAUUACAACAUCGUUUGUAAAGAGACAAGGAGGGGAGCAUGGUGGUGAUUGGACAGCUCGAAUUACAGCAAUCCCCAAAGAUGUCAACAGACCUGUUAUACUGUCUCUCAUGUUUUACAUGGCAUUAGAUGGUCAAGGCUCUUUAACACCAAACAUUAUGAAAAAUAGAAUGGACUCUAUUGAUGGACAAUCACUAGAACUCGGCAACUUCAAGUUGUCAUUUCCCAAAGCUAAGGAUGGUAAAGGAACAAAAUACCACCAUCUAAUUUCAUAUGCUUCUAGACUUGACAGGCUCAAAGACCUGUUACAGAAUUCUCUGCGGACUGACAGCUUUAAUAAAGAAAGGACAAUUCCAUUCUUUGCUUUAGCAGGACGUCUUGUUCCGAGAGAUAGUCCAGAUCCAAAUUUCAUGGUUCAUCAAGUCACAGCACAGCUACCAUUAGAAAUGGAAGUUGUGUUUGAAUCAGGAAGCCAUAGUGCUCGACAUGAAUCUCUCCAGGGCGAUUUAUACUCCCACAAACUAGCAAAAUUUGCUAAAGAUUUCGAUAAUAAAUUUUCUGAAGUAUUUGAUAUUGAUAAAAAAGGUUAUAAUGCAGCUGAAAUUGAUUUUGCAAAAGCUGCCCUGAGUAACAUGAUUGGCAGCAUAGGAUAUUUCUAUGGCUCUUCACUUGUGAAGUCAAAGUACAACAAAGAACCAAUUUAUUAUUGGCCUGCCCCUUUAUACUCAGCAGUCCCUUCCAGAUCCUUCUUUCCAAGAGGAUUUCUUUGGGAUGAAGGUUUUCACAAUCUUCUGAUCAGCCAGUGGGAUCCUGAAAUAUCAAAGGACAUUAUUGCACACUGGUUAGACUUGCUCAAUGCCGAGGGCUGGAUCCCUCGAGAACAAAUUCUGGGAGCAGAGGCCAGGGCCCGAGUUCCUGAUGAAUUUGUCGUACAAAGAAAUGAGAAUGCUAAUCCCCCUACUUUGUUCUUGCCCCUUCAGCGUUUGAUUAAAGACAUGAUAACAAGCCUUGAUCCAAAAGACAAGCAGUUCUUAACAGCAGUGUUCCCAAGACUGCAGAAAUGGUUCAGUUGGUUCAACACAACACAAGUGGGAAAUGAGCCCCUUACCUACUACUGGAGAGGGAGGGAUGAGAAAACAAUUAAAGAGUUAAAUCCUAAGACUCUGACUUCAGGUCUUGACGAUUAUCCUCGGGCUUCUCAUCCAAACUCAAAAGAGAGACAUCUGGAUUUGAGAUGUUGGAUGGCGCUGGCAUCAGGGAUUCUAGCAGACAUUGCUAAGACACUUGAACAGGAUUCAAAAGAGUAUGAGGCCACGCAUCAAGUUCUGACAGACAAUACUUUAUUAGACAAGUUGCAUUGGUCUCCAAAGAAGGAACACUAUUGUGAUUAUGGACUUCAUUCUAACAGAAUCAUUUUAAAGAAACCCAUGCCUCCCAAAAAUAUACAACCAGGACAACCAUAUGACCAAGAUAAGAUAAGAGAUGUGAAAACAGAACCCAAGAUGCAGUUUGUGGAGUCUUUUGGAUAUGUUUCUUUGUUUCCAUUCAUGCUGAAGAUUGUAGAACCCAACUCUCUAAAACUGUAUAAAAUCUUAAAUGAUCUCACCAAUACAGAUUUACUAUGGACCAACUAUGGACUUCGGUCUUUGGCAAGAAAUGCACCGCAGUAUCAGAAAAGGAACACUGAGCAUGACCCUCCAUACUGGAGAGGGGCCAUCUGGAUAAACAUGAACUAUCUUACCCUUGGUGCCCUACAUCACUACUCCAACACAGCCGGCCCAUAUCAGCAUCUAGCUCAAGGCAUAUACAAGGAUUUACGUGCAAAUAUAGUAAAUAAUAUAAUUAAGGAAUAUUAUAGAACAGGUUAUAUUUAUGAACAGUACAAUGAUAAAACUGGUGAAGGGAAAGGCAGCCAUCCCUUUACUGGGUGGUCAGCUCUGGUUGUACUCAUCAUGGCAGAAAAAUAUUAGACUAGUCCAAAGUUCAGGUUUAUUGUGUUCAUUCAGGUAUAGAUGAAUGUCUGUUGAUUGUGUGAUGAUAACUAGAUGGAGUUAAACAAGUGUUCUAUAAUGAAAUAUCAGCCAUCCUCAUUUGAUUACUGUGUUCUGUCAGGUAUAGAUGAAUGAUUAAAUGUCUGUUGAUUAGACAACGAUAACUAGAUAAAACUUUACAAGUAGGAUUUUUUAUAAAUUUGUAAAAUCAGCCAAUCUCAUUUGAUUCAUAUAAUUUUCAUUUUAUGCUGCACAAUGUAAAACAGAUAUACCAUUGAUGGUCUUUUCAUGUUUUGUUUUAAUAUUAUAAAUGUUAUAAUUGCAUUCAUAAUAUAUUGUCAAUGAAUGGAUGUUAAUUGAAAAUGGUUUGCAUGUUUAUGCAUGUAUAGAUGUGUGACAGUCAGACAUUUUUGAAUACCAGUGCCAGAUAGCACAGCUGUUAGAAUACAUGACUAGAGAUUCAGGGAGCCAAGGUUCAAAUACCAGUCUGAUCCAUCAUUAUUUCUCCCAUUCUGAUACAAUUGGUGCCAUGACCAGGAUCAAAUGUAUCUGGAUGACAGACCAAACCAGGAUUCAAACCUAGGCCCCCUGAAUCUCUAGUCAGGUGCUGUACCAAUUGAGCUAUUUGGCACUUGUUUUCGAUCCAGUCUGAUUGUCACAGAUGUAAUGAAUUGCUGUGCAUGAAUAAAGAUAUUAAAUCAUCUG